rnacentral:lncRNA from 1 species
AAAUUGACCAAAAUUAGUGCUUGUUAAGUUACUGCCAUCAGAGGUAUUAUGAAGGUCAAAGCUAGAGCUUUCAAAUGUCUGAUAUUUAGAAUUCAAGAAAUAGGUUCUAGCAAUAUUUGUUUUAUUCCCUUGCCUGUUUGCCUGUGAGCCAAUGCCACAGAUGUUAGAAAAUUGAGACAAGAUAUUAUGUGUGUAGUAAAUCUGAGUAGGUUGAUGUGUGUGAUAUUGGAUGUGAUUUAGUGAGAGUGUGUAUGGUGUCUGUAUAAGAGUAAGACUAUAAUGUGUGAUGUCCAAAUAAUAAUAACUGCCAAUUUGGAUGGCUGAGUGUCUAUGUGUGUAACAUGUAGCGUGUAUAGCCUUAAUAUUCAUGAUGAUAAUUGUAAUCCAUGUCGUAUCACCAUCAUAGUUGCAUCAUAAUUACCUUUAACAUAAUUGAAAAACACAUCCCAGCAUUUCCAUAGCAACAUGAUAAUGAAAGAGAUCUUGCAUUACUCUAGAGACGGCUUCACUACAGUACAAAUGUAUUCCAUACAAUAUGUUAUUAUUCCCCAAUGCCCCUAUUCUGAUAUCUUCCCCUUGCUUGUUGUAAACAUAUAUAAACUUGUAGACAAAUACAUAAAGAUAGACAAACAAACAUGAAUUAUAAAACAGUUUGACAAUAUAGAGAGAGGUAGAGAAAAGAGAGGAGAGAGUGAGAGAAGAGCGAGAUCAGGUGUGUGUGUGUGUGUGUGUGUGUGUGUGUGUGUGUGUGUGUAUGUAUGUAUAAGUCCGUAUGUGUAAGCAAGCAUGUAAUUGAGUACGUGUGUGUUCAUAUCCACUUCAUAAUGUUCAGAUAUUUUUACAGUUCCCAUAGCUUCUUUUUUUCGUAACCUGAAGUCCCUGUAGAAUUUAGUACAGCCACGGUGUUAUGGAGCUGUCUCGGAAUAGCUGUCCAUCUAUAAAGAGUUUGUCCACAAUGAUAAAGGCACACCUACCAUCCUUCCUUUGUUGUCUUUGUACUGGAUAGUCUCUUACAACGGCCGUUUAUCUCCCUUGGAAACUGGUCAUUGAGACCGAAUUUGGUCCCUUUCAGCUCCCUUCCCCUGCUUUUGAUCAGCUCCUUUUGUUGGUAGUGUUCAGAUUUUGUGAUGAUCGGUCGGGGACCCUUGGUCUUGUCGCCCCAAGUCUGUGUACUCGGUGGAAAGCCACCUUGUUUACAGUCUCUAGAGGAAGUUUCAAGGCGGAUUGCAUGAAUUCUCUGAUCGCACCCUCCGGAUUAUUGGAUGUGUCGUCAGGAAUCCCAGGAAAAAUAGAUUUUCACGCAUGCUACGACUUUGUAUGUCUAGUAGCGACUCCUUCAUCACCCUGUUUUCCCUGAGUAGACAAUCCAUGUUGGAAUCGUGGAUUUUUACCUUGGCUGUGAGUGUCUUGUUUCCUCUUUGGAGCGUGAGAAUUUCACUCUGGCUGAACUCCAAACUCCCCCUCAGCCCUGCUACCUCCUCACACAACUUUUCCAGUGUUGCAUGGAUUCCAGCCAGAGCACUAGCCACUACCUCAAUGGUAAGUAAAUCGUCCAUGUCUGUAGAUUAAUGUUUCUUUUUUUUGUCGGGUUAAAAGUUAUUUUGUGAGGUAGUCGGAUCUUUCCAUGAUGGAGUAUGUUGUUCCUCCAUAGCGUAAAGCUGUUGGUACUCGUCGAUUUCCCUCAUGAUCUCCUUAGUAUCCAGAUUGGCUCUUUACUUCAACCAGUUGUUUUACGAAAAGAUAACAAUGAGUCUUUCCCACGACGACGACAUGUGUCUGUAGAACAACCAGCUAGCACUCACAGAAUCCACGCAAAAGAAGGAACACAAAGCAGUCCCAGCGGUAAAGGCUAACCGCGUUGUGGAAUCCUUAGCAACAAAACUUUAGUUCGGAUUAAAAUCGAUUUAAUGAAAAUGUUUUAAUAUAAACAAACCGAGUGUAGACAGUACAAUGUCCUGUUGCGCACUCUGAUGAUGCAUGUCUGUGACAUAUCUGGAUUGGUGUUGAUUCCAGAUGUGUUGUGUUGUGUUGUUGCCAACCCUUAACACCUGGGGGUGACCCGUCAGGAAAUCCAGCAUCCAAUUGCAGAGGGAGGUGUUUAGUCCCAGGUUCCUUAGCUUAGUGAUGAGCUUUUUGGGUACUAUGGUAUUGAAUACUGAGCUGUAGUCAAAGUGGGGAGUGCGAUUGAGAUUGCGUCAUCUGUGGAUGUAUGCGAAUUGGAGUGGGUCUAGGGUUUCCAGGAUGAUGGUGUUGGUGUUGAUGUGAUUCAUGACCAGCCUUUCAAAGCACUUCAUGGCUACUGACGUGAGUGCUACAGGCAGGUUACCUUCGCUUUCUUGGGCACAGGGACUAUGGUAUUACAUGUAGGUAUUACAGACUCGGUCAGGGAGUGGUUGAAAAUGUCAAUGAAGACAUUUGCCAGUUGGUCCGCACAUGCUUUGAGUACACGUCCUGGUAAUCCAUCUGGCCCUGUGGCUUUGUGAAUGUUGACCUGUUUAAAAGGACUUGCUCACAUCGGCUACGGAGAGCGUGAUCACAGUCGUCCAGAACAGCUGGUGUUCUCAUGCAUGCUUCAGUGUCGCUUGCCUCGAAGCGAGCAUAUAAGGUAUUUAGCUCAUCUGGUAGGCUGGGUUUCCCUUUGUAGUCCGUAAUAGUUUGCAAGCCCUGCCACAUCCGACGAGCGUCAGAGCCAGUGUAGUAGGAUUCAAUCUUAGUCCUGUAUUGACACUUUGUCUGUUUGAUGGUUCGUCUGGGGGCUUAGAGGAAUUUCUUAUAAGCGUCCGGAUUAGUGUCCCGCUCCUUGAAGGUGGCAGCUCUCACCUUUUGCUUGAUGCGGAUGUUGCCUGUAAUCCAUGGUGUCAUGUUGGGAUAUGUACGUACACACACUGUGGGGACAACAUCCUCGAUGCACUUUUUGAUAAAGCCGGUUGACUGAGAUGGUAUACUCCUGAAUGCCAUUGGUUGAAUCACGGAACAUAUUCCAGUUUGUGCUAGAAAAACAGUCCUGUAGCGUAGCAUCUGCGGUAUCUGACCAGUUUUGUAUUGAGCGAGUCACUGGUAGUUCCUGCUUUAGUUUUUGCUUGUAAGCAGGAAUCAGGAGGAUAGAAUUAUGGUCAGAUUUGCCGAAUGGAGGGCAAGGGAGAGCUUUGUAUGCGUCUCUGUGUGUGGAGUAAAGGUGGUCUGGAGUGGUUGAUCAUUGCUAUACAACCAUUUUCAGGCCUUGCCAUAGUUUUGACUUAAAUCUACCUCGGCCACUCAGGAAUAUCCACUGUCUUCUUGAUAAGCAACUUCAGUGUAGAUUUUGCCUUGUGUUUUAAGUUAUUGUCCUGCUGAAAGGUGAAUUCAUCGUCUGGUGGAAAGCAGACAACCAGGUUUUCCUCUAGGAUUUUGCCUGUGCUUAGCUCCAUUCUGUUUCUUUUUUAUCCUGAAAAACAGCCUGAUUACAAGCAUACCCAUAACAUAACAUGAUGCAGCCACCACUAUGCUUGAAAAUAUGGAGAAUGGUAUUCAGUAAUGUGGUAUAUUUGCCCCAAACAUAACACUUUGUAUUCAGGAUAAAAAGUGAAUUGCUUUGCCACAAUCGUUGCAGUAUUAUUUGUGUGCCUUUUGCAAACAGAAUGCAUGUUUUGGAAUAUUCUUUAUUCUGUACAGGUUUCCUUAUUUUCACUCUGUCAAUUAGGUUAGUUUUGUGUAGUAACUACAAUGUUGAUCCAGCCUCAGUUUUCUCCUAUCACAGCCAUUAAACUAUAACAAUUUUAAAGUCACCAUUGGGCUCAUGGUGAAAUUCCCUGAGUGGUUUCCUUCCUCUCCGGCAACUGAGUUAGGAAGGACGCCUGUAUCUUUGUAAUGUAUUGAUAGACCAUCCAAAGUGAAAUGACUAACUUCACCAUGCUCAAAAGGAUAUUCAAUGUUUGCUUUUUUUUACCCAUCUACCAAUAAGUGCCCUUCUCUGUGAGGCAAUGGUAAACAUCCCUGGUGUUUAUUUGACAUUUACUGCUCGACUGAGGGACCUUAUAGAUUAUUGUAUUUUUUGGGGUACAGAGAUGAGGUAGUCAUUCAAAAAUUAAGGUAAACACUAUUAUUGCACACAGAGUGAGUCCAGGCAACUUAUUAUGUGACUUGUUAAGCAAAUGUUUACUCAGGAACAAAUGGGUUGAACAGACAUUUCAACUUUAAAAAUGUUUCAUUAAUUAGUAACAAUUUUGAAAACAUAAUUUAACUUUGACAUUAUGGGGUAUUGUGUGUAGGCCAGUGACAAAAACAUCUCAAUUAAAUAAAUAAUAAUUCAGGCUGUAACAAAAUGUUUUGGGGAAAAAGUCAAGGGGUGUGAAUACUUUCUGGAGGCACUACACACACAACUGAAAAUAAUAGCCGUAUUGCAUGUGGAAUAAGAUAAUAAUAAUUAUUGUUUAUAAGUGUUUUUCCAGAAACAGUCAAUGUGCCCCAUCUUUUCUCUCAGACCAAAUAAAAUCAUAAUAUCAAAAUUCUAACAGUCUGUUCCUGUCCCUGUUACCUGAGGUUGAUGGUUUGGGGUGCAACAAGGGAGUCCCUCUCUGAGUGAGAGCUGGGGUGUCUGCCCCUCCUCCCUGAGUGGAACGUCCUGCCUCCCUUCCACUGGUGCUGUGGGUCGCUUCACUCAGACCCUCCUGGAAAGAGAGAAGAGGAGAGUUCAAACUGACCACUUGGUCUUUGCUUUGUAGCAUCAUUAAUGAAAAUAUCUUGUGUGUUGUGUGGGCUCCUGAGUUGCGUAGCGGUCUAAGGCACUGCAUCUCAGUGCCAGAAGCGUCACUACAGACCUGGUUCGUUUCCAGGCUGUAUCACAACCGGCCGUGAUUAGGAGUCCCAUAGGGCGGCGCACAAUUGGCCCAGCGUCGUUCGGGUUAGGGCUUGGCCGUCAUUGUAAAUAAGAAUUUUUUGUUCUUAAUGUUCUUAACUGACUUACCUAGUUAAAUAAAAGGUAAAAUAAAAAUUUCUGAUCAAUUUGAUGUUAUUUUAAAUGGACAAAAAAAGUGAUUUUCUUUCAAAAACAAGGACAUUUGUAAGUGACCACAAUCUUUUGAAAGGUAAUGUACAUUUUGGGGAGAAUCUGGGAAAUCCUAUAUCAGGCGUAUGGUAUUUUCUCAAUAGAAAUGACGCGAGGCAAGAGCAGAGAUCAGCUUCUCAUUAGCUAGCUAACAUUAGCUUUAUUAUAUCUAUAUAGUGUUAGGUGUACUGUUGUUUUGAAAUAACAUUCUUUAUAUUGAUUUGAUUGUAUACAUAGUCUUAGCAAGCUCUUUGGCAGCAAGCUAAGCAUUUUUAGCUAUAAUAUUUAGCUAGCUAGCUUGCUUUGCAAAUGUUAGCCUAGUUAGCAUCAAGUGUUAUAGAAAAAUGGCCGUAGAAGCAACUCUAGCUUAGUUUAGAAGAAAGACUGACUUUUCAAUUCAUUUUGAUGCACCUGUAGAACAAGGAGCUAGUUAGCAAAGAUUUUUAUCUGUGCCCUUGGUGUACAACAGCUUCUAUGUACAACAAACUCCCUCACGAUGCCAGGACAGCGGAGUCAAUCACCACCUUCCGGAGACACCUGAAACCCCACCUCUUUAAGGAAUACCUGGGUUAGGAUAAAGUAAUCAUUCUAACCCCCCCCCCCACAAAAAAAGAUAUAGAUGUACUAUUGUAAAGUGGUUGUUCCACUGGAUAUCAUAAGGUGAAUGCACCAAUUUGUAAGUCGCUCUGGAUAAGAGCGUCUGCUAAAUGAUGUAAAUGUAAUACCCAUGACAGAUAAUGCCAUCAUGGUUUGAUAGGCCUGAGACCCCAGUGCAGCUCAAUGUAAACAAGUGUAAUGGAAGGGUGGGAAUCUUCCGGCUAGCGUAGCAUGGACAAACCUAACACAAAUUAAAGUUUAUGUAGUUGCCAUAAUAUUUGAAGAUGGGGAUUGGACCACUCAUCCGGAUAAACAUUAGCUAGUUAUCGGUAAAGCUGUCUAACGUUAACAGUUAGCUAGCUGAUAUGCUCAGUGUCUGCUUGUGCCAUUUGCACCAUGAUACACCUGCACACACCCCUAGUAUGACUUCAAGGAUUUGAAGACCUAUUUCUCAAAGAUGGAAUGGACCGGUCUAGUGAAAUGUGAGAGAGUGCACUACAGAAACUUGAAGAGGAACCACCUGGCUAUAGGGCUGAACUCCCCAGUACCUGCUUUUAUGAGGAGAGGCAGAUUUAAACUGGUGAACAAUGCUCAGCUUCUCGCACCCAGUGACUCCGAGGAGGAUGAGUGGACCCCUCGCCUGGAGAGAUGCUGGAGUUAUGUAGUGAAAGCAGAGGGAAAAAUAAGCUUUUGGAAUGAAAGAGGCUCUGACAAGAUUGAAAGAAGAGGAGGAUGUUACAGUGAAAGAGGGGGAGGAAGAGAACUGUCACAGUGAAAGAGGAGAUUGGAGGUCUGAUUAACACCAGGACACCUCGGAGCUUCCGACCCUCUGCAGCGUCUCAAGGAGCCCCUCAGCCUGACAAACUGGCUACACCUACAGUACAGCAGCCCCCCAGCGGUGAGGAGGCAGGACCCAGGAACAUGGGGACAGAACCACCCCAGCCAUUCCUGGAGGAGCUGACUGAAGAAGUGGCCUUCCUCAGAGACGUUAGCACAGCGGACACACACAGUGGAGAACAGGAGGGGCUAGGAGACAAGCGGCGAUCGGAGCUAGCGACAAAACAACAAGAGCCAACAGCAACACAGCUGAUAACACUGUUGAAGACAUGGACCAUACAGAGUCACAUCUAGGUUAGGGAAAUGAGCCCAAUAGCAUAUUUGUAAAAAAAUAUAUAUAUAUAUAUAUAUUUUAAACAUAUUGGACUAUGUAUAUAGACUAUGCAUGGUCCAUAUAAUCAGGUAUGCUAUUAGCAAUAAGCAUUAUCACCUGUAGCCCAACUGGUGCAGUAUAUGGAUGCCCAUCUGCAUUUACCAUGGGCUAAUCACAGUGUUAGGGAAGCUACUCUGAAAAUAUAGUUUACCAAGCUACCAAUUACUUCACACUGGAACAAGUUAAGAUGCACUAAAGCUACCCUUAAGAAAAACACUGGCUAAUCAUUAGCUAAUCCCUAGUUGGCAUGUAUUGAUGAAUGUAAACAUGAAAACACAUGAAUAAGCUAUUUGGCUUCAGAUAUUCGAACACAAGAAGCAGUGCCACUCAUAGUCCUAGAUAUACCAAGAACUGUAUAAAACCUUACAGACAGAAUAACACAAUAUAAAAUGAACAAGGGAAACUUAUUUUUAGGCGAAGGUGUCUGAGUGUAAUCAUGUUUGCCAUAUUGUAUUCUGAAUAAAAUUGAUUUACACCAAAACAGUCUUUAUGGUCAUUAGUAUUAUGGGAGCCAUAUUGGAUUUUGAACGCCAUAAUGGAUUUGAGGCUAAAUCCAGUGCGGACCCAAAGAUAAUCUGUGGUGGCCCCAUGACUAAAUUCCAAAUGUAGAGGCUAAAGAUAAAAAAAAUCCUUCAAGGAACCUUAGACCCCAAAAAAUAUAUAAUUCCAAUGUCUGAGCCCACUUGUUUUCCUUAGAGCUGAUUCCAA